rnacentral:rRNA from 1 species
UACGGGGGGUGCAAGCGUUGUUCGGAAUUACUGGGCGUAAAGGGCUCGUAGGCGGCCAACUAAGUCAGACGUGAAAUCCCUCGGCUUAACUCCGAAACUGCAUUCGAUACUGCCGUGCUUGAGGACUGGAGAGGAGACUGGAAUUUACGGUGUAGCGGUGAAAUGCGUAGAUAUCGUAAGGAAGACCAGUGGCGAAGGCGGGGCUCUGGACAGUUCCUGACGCUGAGGCACGAAGGCCAGGGGAGCAAACGGG